GCGCCGGUAGUGCAACUGGUAAGCACGCGCACCUAGAAGAGAUGAGGGUUCGAUUCUCGUCUGACGCU